CCCCGGGGUCAGGGUCUGAGUGUCUACACUGCAGGUCCGUCCCGGGUCAGGGUCUGAGUGUCUACACUGCAGGUCCGUCCCGGGGUCAGGGUCUGAGUGUCUACACUGCAGGUCCGUCCUGGAUCAGGGUCUGAGUGUCUACACUGCAGGUCCGUCCCAGGGUCAGGGUCUGAGAGUUGCCUACACUGCAGGUCCGUCCCGGGGUCAGGGUCUGAGUGUCCACCCUGCAGGUCCGUCCGGGGGUCAGGGUCUGAGUGUUUACACUGCAGGUCCGUCCUGGGGCCGGGGUCUGAACGCCGUCCACACUGCAGGUCUCCGGCCGCCCUCCUUUUCGUGGCUGCGUAGUCCUCCGCCGCGUGGCCGUGCCGCAGUUCCUCCCCCGUCCAUGGCCGGACGUGGUUUUGCCGAGUUUUGGCCGGAGCCUGGAGCCCCAGCCUCAUUCUCGGGGUUCCACUCCCAGGAGCGAACUCGCUGGCCCCUGAAGUCAUUGCUGCACUUGACGAGCCACCGUGAGCAGACCGCUCCUGCCCUGACCACAGGGUGGCCACUGCGAGUUUGUCUAGCACACUCCCGGGGGUGGGGGGGGGGCUCUGUAGCCGUCUACGGCGUCCUGGUUACACUGUUGCGAGGUUCACUUCUGUCGGUGACAUUGUUGCCACGUCCACCCCGCAACUACAAGAGGCCCUCAACAAGGUCUCAGAAACUGGAACCAGAGAGAAGAGUGGGCGGGCGCUCAGGUUAGGGGUUACGGCCCCCCGGGGCACCCCCAUUCUGGAUAAGACCCAGUUCCUGUCCCAGCGCCUGCUCAUGCAGGUGGAGGCCCAGGUACUGGGCGCAGCCUGGCCCUGUCUCAGGUGUUGUAGGCUGUUGUAGGGGAGGGGCCUGCAGAUGGGGGAGUCUCCCUCUCUCUCUCUCUCUCUCUCUCUCUCUCUCUCUCUCUCUCUCUGCCUUUCCAACACAUAAGCCCAAGGUGGUCUGAGCAGGGUCCCUGCCAGUGAACACUGUCCUCCUUGACUGUCAGCCCCGGGAAAGCCGCCCGUGACUCAGUUUCCCCCAUCCCCACUGACUCUGGAUGCGGGCCCUCCCUCCCCAAGUUCAAGGACAAGUGGGGACACAGAGACUUCCUCUGGCCUCCUUCUCAUCAUACCCCCGGCUUCUGGCAGGGCAGGCGCCUGGCACCCAGCCCCGUGUUAUCUGUGGGGGUGGGGGCAUUCAUUCCAAGACACGCCCCUCCCUCAAAUACCAAAAUCCAUGGAAGCUGGGGUCCAGCGCCCAGCCCCCCGCGCCCUGAGUCAUCCCCCAGGCUCCCGCGAGCGCCGGCAUUGUUCGGGGAGCGGUGACGAGGGUACAUUCGGCCCCGACACUCGAAUCCACUGCCGUGGAGACGUGCACACCGGGCUCAGCGGAGCUGCAAGGUUGGAAAACCUGGCUUCCGGCGGCUGUUCCGAUCGGUUCUCUGCCUAUGGCCGGCCCAGGCCAGCUCCCGCGUUCUCUGAAUUCUCCCCGAAGCAGCCCGGAGCGCGCAGAGAGCUCUGCGCAGGCCCCCGUGGGUGGAGGCCGUGAGCACCGCUCUGCAGCCCUCCGGGGCAGCGGGGGCCGGGCCUGGCUGGAAUGAGACGCCAGGGACCCUUGUCCAAGGUCCAGCCCUGAGAAUGUGCACAGAAACUGGACUUUAGCUUCUGGCCCUGCUGUGUGCCCGGGGUGGGCGUGUGGCUUGUAGACCACAGGAAGUGACUUUUUUU
ensembl:lncRNA